CAGUAGCCACGGUAAUACGGAGGGUGCAAGCGUUAAUCGGAAUUACUGGGCGUAAAGCGUGCGUAGGCGGUUCGUUAAGUCUGUUGUGAAAGCCCCGGGCUCAACCUGGGAAUGGCAAUGGAUACUGGCGAGCUAGAGUGUGUCAGAGGAUGGUGGAAUUCCCGGUGUAGCGGUGAAAUGCGUAGAGAUCGGGAGGAACAUCAGUGGCGAAGGCGGCCAUCUGGGACAACACUGACGCUGAGGCACGAAAGCGUGGGGAGCAAACAGGAUUAGAUACCCGUGUAGUCCCUGUCUCUUAUAU
rnacentral:rRNA from 1 species